AUUGAACGCUGGCGGCAGGCCUAACACAUGCAAGUCGAGCGGAGCGGCGGACGGGUGAGUAAUGCCUAGGAAUCUGCCUGGUAGUGGGGGAUAACGUCCGGAAACGGGCGCUAAUACCGCAUACUAUCAGAUGCGCCUAGGUCGGAUUAGCUAGUUGGUGGGGUAAAGGCCUACCAAGGCGACGAUCCGUAACUGGUCUGGGAGGAUGAUCAGUCACACUGGAACCGGGACACGGUCCAGACUCCGACGGGAGGCAGCAGUGGGGAAUAUUGGACAAUGGGCGAAAGCCGGAUGCAGGGACGUCGCGAGGAGGAUGAAGGCUUUCGGGUUGUAAACCUCUUUCGCGAUCGAACGGUUAGGUGGAGAAGAAGCGCCGGCUAACUCCGUGCCAGCAGCCGCGGUAAUUC
rnacentral:rRNA from 1 species